ACCGAUGCUGGUGGACUAUCAAUCCCAGGGAUUCCAUGGGUUGGCACCGAUACUUGUGAACUGUCAAUCCCAUGGAUACCUUGGUCGGCACCAAUGCUAUUGGAUAAUCAAUCCUAAGGGUACCAUGGGUCAACACCAAUGCUGGUGGACCCUCAAUAUCAAAGGUUUCAUGGGUCGGCACAAAUGCUAGUGGACAAUCAAUCAUAG
rnacentral:lncRNA from 1 species